rnacentral:lncRNA from 10 species
AGCCAAUCCUCUUCUGAUUUCUCUCCUUACAGACCUCAGCUGACUUGUAAAUGAGUGGAGUCCUAUGGGUAUGUUUGAUGUUUUAGACAACUUUGAUUUCUCUACAAUUGUUUCGACAAAGUAUGAACUUAGUAAAUUUUGUGAAUGAACUGCUUUGGUUCUUCUCUACAAAAUGAGGAUAAAGAGACCCAUCUCAUAAAAUUGCUUUGAGGAAUAAAUGAGAUAAAUUAUGUGCAAGUGUUAUGUAAUCUACAAAGAAGUUGUGGUGAAGGCCAUCAUUAUUGGUUAAAAUUCAAACAUAUUCUUAAUAAAGAAAAAGCAAGCAUGACGACCAGCAAGUGGUAUUUAAAAGAAUAUAAACUUGUCAGUGUUCUAGUGACAAACAUCAAAAGGCG